UUGGGCCUGCCAGGUUUGUCCGGCAUUCCACCCCACCAUCGCAGCCAACUCACCACCAGGUGGUGAUCGGUAAAAAUCUCCGCCCCUUUACGAGUGUCUAUUAGUAUUAUUAACUUACAAUGGCAUUUUUCUUUGUUUUUGUUUUUCAGUUUCACAAAUUCCUCAGUAAAUUCACCAAAACGUCAUCGUGGAGUUAUUAAGUCCGUUUAGCUGAUUGGAGAGCCAGCUUGCACAGCUAGUGGGUACAUGACCAUGACUUCUGUUUUGUUGGAUCAGCCAUUUUACUGCCUUGUUACAGACACCGUUUGGAAACAAUUUAAGCUUAUAGUCCAUGACCAUGACUUCUGUUUGGUUGGAUCAGCCGUUUUACUGCCUUGUUACAGACACCGUUUGGAAACAAUUUAAGCUUAUAGUCCAUGACCAUGACUUCUGUUUUGUUGGAUCAGCCGUUUUACUGCCUUGUUACAGACACCGUUUGGAAACAAUUUAAGCUUAUAGUCCAUGACCAUGACUUCUGUUUGGUUGGAUCAGCCGUUUUACUGCCUUGUUACAGACACCGUUUGGAAACAAUUUAAGGAGCAGGCUGUUCUGAAAACAUCCCCCCGAGGACACCUCAGUGAUGGACGCUUUUGACCUCCCUCCCUCCUCAACGACACCUGGAGUCAAACUUUUGCUUGCAUGCAGAACGGCCCCAGGCCUAUGGACAUUACAUCAACACACCGGCUUCCUCCCACUUCCAAAGACAUGCACCUGGGGAUAAGUUGAUUGGCAACACUAAAUUGGCCCUAGUGUGUGGAUGUGAGUGUGAAUGUUGUCUGUCUAUCUGUGUUGGCCCUGCAAUGAGGUGGCGACUUGUCCAGGGUGUACCCCGCCUUCCGCCCGAUUGUAGCUGAGAUAGGCUCCAGCGUCCCCCGCGACCCCAAAGGGAAUAAGCGGUAGAAAAUGGAUGGAUGGAUGACCCAAGAUAAUGGGCAUAUACACCCACCCUCUUCCCCACCCCACGUCUUCACCACCGCUUGAUUCCCCUUCGGGGUGAUGGACGGCUGGCAGCGCUUCAUAGCAGCAGUCGACCUCCAGGGCCCCAAUGCCCCCCCUUAGGAACCCAGUCUAGAUUGUAUUUUUUACUCAUCUUCUUCCUGUUUCCGUCUUUCCUUACUAUCAAGCUUUUGUUCCAUCGUUCUAAAGCAGUAACAAUUUAUGUGAUUAAUGUGAAUGUAAUUUUACGACGCUAACAUGGCGUUAGCUUCAUGCUAAGCUAUUAGCACCCACCUCUCCCUGGAAAGUGGCUUGGGCUCAGGCCGGAGCACCAUCAGAACGCUGCCGGCCCGCGUUGCCGGGGGCGACAAAGGGAAGUUGGUAUCCAAGGAGCCCGACUUCCUGUGCAGCGGCUCCAAGCCCGCCGCCCCCGC